rnacentral:rRNA from 1 species
UACGAAGGGGGCUAGCGUUGCUCGGAAUCACUGGGCGUAAAGGGUGCGUAGGCGGGUCUUUAAGUCAGGGGUGAAAUCCUGGAGCUCAACUCCAGAACUGCCUUUGAUACUGAAGAUCUUGAGUCCGGGAGAGGUGAGUGGAACUGCGAGUGUAGAGGUGAAAUUCGUAGAUAUUCGCAAGAACACCAGUGGCGAAGGCGGCUCACUGGCCCGGUACUGACGCUGAGGCACGAGAGCGUGGGGAGCGAACCGG